GAUGAACGCUGGCGGCGUGCCUAAUACAUGCCAGUCGAGCGAACAGACGAGGAGCUUGCUCCUCUGACGUUAGCGGCGGACGGGUGAGUAACACGUGGAUAACCUACCUAUAAGACUGGGAUAACUUCGGGAAACCGGAGCUAAUACCGGAUAAUAUAUUGAACCGCAUGGUUCAAUAGUGAAAGACGGCUUUGCUGUCACUUAUAGAUGGAUCCGCGCCGCAUUAGCUAGUUGGUAAGGUAACGGCUUACCAAGGCAACGAUGCGUAGCCGACCUGAGAGGGUGAUCGGCCACACUGGAACUGAGACACGGUCCAGACUCCUACGGGAGGCAGCAGUAGGGAAUCUUCCGCAAUGGGCGAAAGCCUGACGGAGCAACGCCGCGUGAGUGAUGAAGGUCUUCGGAUCGUAAAACUCUGUUAUUAGGGAAGAACAAAUGUGUAAGUAACUAUGCACGUCUUGACGGUACCUAAUCAGAAAGCCACGGCUAACUACGUG
rnacentral:rRNA from 1 species